rnacentral:rRNA from 1 species
AAUCAACGCUGGCGGCAUGCCUAACACAUGCAAGUCGAGCGAGAAAGUGUAGCAAUACAUGAGUACAGCGGCGCACGGGUGAGUAACACGUGGAUAACCUGCCUCAAAGUGGGGAAUAACACCGGGAAACCGGUGCUAAUACCGCAUAUUCUGAUGAGAUCUG